rnacentral:rRNA from 1 species
UACGUAGGGUGCAAGCGUUGUCCGGAAUCAUUGGGCGUAAAGCGCGCGUAGGCGGCCCGAUAAGUCCGCUGUAAAAGUCAACGGCUCAACUGUUGAAAGCCGGUGGAUACUGUCGGGCUAGAGUACGGAAGAGGCAAGUGGAAUUCCUGGUGUAGCGGUGGAAUGCGCAGAUAUCAGGAGGAACACCUAUAGCGAAGGCAGCUUGCUGGGACGUUACUGACGCUAAGGCGCGAAAGCGUGGGGAGCGAACAGGA